rnacentral:tRNA from 1 species
AGGGGCGUAGCUCAGCUGGUAGAGCACUGGUCUCCAAAACCAGGUGUCGUCGGUUCAAGUCCGGCCGCCCCUGCCA